rnacentral:tRNA from 1 species
GCGGAUUUGGUCUAUUGGCUGGGCCUCGGAGCGCCACUCCGAUGAUAGCGGUUCGAUUCCGCUAAUCCGCGCCA